rnacentral:rRNA from 1 species
CGGUUGUGUUAAUCGCCCCCUCCUUGCGGUUAGGCUAACUACUUCUGGCAGAACCCGCUCCCAUCGCGUUGUGACGGGCGGUGUGUACAAGACCCGGGAACGUAUUCACCGCGGCAAGCUGAUCCGCGAUUACUAGCGAUUCCGACUUCACGCAGUCGAGUUGCAGACUGCGAUCCGGACUACGACCGGGUUUCUGGGAUUAGCUCCCCCUCGCGGGUUGGCAGCCCUCUGUCCCGGCCAUUGUAUGACGUGUGUAGCCCUACCCAUAAGGGCCAUGAUGACCUGACGUCAUCCCCACCUUCCUCCGGUUUGUCACCGGCAGUCUCAUUAGAGUGCCCUUUCGUAGCAACUAAUGACAAGGGUUGCGCUCGUUGCGGGACUUAACCCAACAUCUCACGACACGAGCUGACGACGGCCAUGCAGCACCUGUGUCCAGGUUCUCUUUCGAGCACUCCCACAUCUCUGCAGGAUUCCUGGCAUGUCAAGGGUAGGUAAGGUUUUUCGCGUUGCAUCGAAUUAAACCACAUCAUCCACCGCUUGUGCGGGUCCCCGUCAAUUCCUUUUGAGUUUCAACCUUUGCGGCCGUACUCCCCCAGGCGGUCAACUUCACGCGUUAGCUACGUUACUGAGAAGAAACCCUCCCAACAACCAGUUGACAUCGUUUAGGGCGUGGAACUACCAGGGUAUCUAAUCCUGUUUGCUCCCCACGCUUUUCGUGCAUGAGCGUCAGUACAGGCCCAGGGGAAUUGCCUUCCGCAUUCGGUGUUCCUCCGCA